GGCCGGGUGAGCGCGGCCCCGCCUCGUCCCGCCCCGCACCGGGCGCGGCCGCCGCCGCCGCCAUUUCGGUUGUGGGCACCGCCCCCGGGCAGUCCCGGAGCCUGCGGUGCCCGUCCGUGCGCCCGUCCCGCGGCUGCGGUGCCUCCGAGUGGCUCUGAAACAUCUCAGCGAGGGCUCCCACAGGAGGGAUGGUCGCAGGCUUGGCCUUGUUGGUGGCACACGUGCAGCGAGGAGAGACCCCAAAAAGGGACUCGGAUGUGCUUCAGCAAUGACGCAAAGCAUCUUGCAGGACACAAGCAAACCUGGCCACAGCAGAAGCUGCAAGAUCAAAGUGAAAUCUUCAGGAGGAGCACCCAUGGAGAGCUAAGGAAGAGUUUGUCCUGCCUUUCAGAGAGCAGAUGCACAAGGCAGAGCUCUGGCACGGGCUUGGAUUUCUGCAAGGAGAACAGAGUGAAGCACUGGCCUGGUUUCCAGGAAAGGAGAACAGUGUGUCACAGAGAAGGCAUUGAAAAGACCUGAGGCUUCUGCCUCAGCUUUCAGUCUUACUCCUGCAGACACGUGGAGUCUUGGGAGUUCAAAAGGCUGAACUAGAGACUGUCCUGCAGCUGGCAGAGGACAGGAAGCUGUGGGUUCCUCCUGAAGAGCUGCUGGAGACCACAGAGGGUGUCCCUGUGUCUGCUGGAGAUCCCUGCUCAGCUCACGUCAAUCCCUGCGGCGCUGACCUUUGCAGUGGGACUGUGGGAAUCCGAGGUGGGCAGGAAGGCUUGGUACACUAUCUCCAGUGCCCAGAGCCCCCAAAAGACACUGGCAGCCCUUCAGCAACGUCUCAAAACCUCACAGGAUCUCUGACAUCCUCUCCAGCUGGUGCAUCCCACAGCACAGGUAGGGCUGGGCACACCACACGUUUCCUCCAGCUGACCCACCCAUUUCCUAUUUUCUGCAGACAUGACAACUAGUGAGUUAAUCCUGCAGGCCAUAAACUAAGCUGUAUUAGCAGACACCAUCUGUCCUUUUUCAUUUGCUGAUGCACGACCUAUUUUGCUGUGUAGUGGAGCAGGCGCUGCAGUUUUGGGGUUUGCAUGUUGCGGUGUCCCUGUUGCCAGGGCAUAAUCCACUGCUCACAGAGAGCUGCUAGUGGGGGAAAGCUCCAGUGAACUGAGCACCACUGGCUCCUGCUGCCAUGGGAAGGUGGUGGAUGAAGCCUUUCCCCAUGGCUGCCUGGCCUCCAAGGAAGUUUGGGCUUCAAUCCCACAAAGCACCUGGGAGGGGAAAGGUCUCAGCAGAACUUCCAAGGAUACACAACUUCCAAGCACAACUGCCCUCAGCAGGGUCUUCCGAAGCCCCUUCAGAAGAAUGUGGCCACAUCCACAUUCCCUCACUUGUCGGGAGGUCGUGGAGAGACCUGAAUUCUCAUCCCAAAGUGGGGUUUAUGGGAACAGGCUCAGCACUCCAGCCACUCUGCUCUGGCCUGGAGUAAUUCCUGUGCUUUACAGAGCUGAGCAAUGGCAAUCACACCAGGACAGGGAAAGACAGGAAGAGAACUCUUCCUUUAUCCCUCUGGUCAUGUCUUGGAGCAGUGUGGUGACCCUUGUCUGGGUACAGAAGUACAGACAUUGUGAAAGGUCAUAAAACCAUCAGGAUUUUCCAAACCAGUAAUUAUUUGACUUUACCAUCUCUUGAAGCAAUUCCAAAGGUUAGGGCCUUGUCAAAAGAAGCCUCCUGAAUUUACCAACUUUCAAUUUAACUCAGCGCUGGUGGCAGGAAUUUUCCCUGAGUUCUGAAACAAAAAGCCAGGAAAUUCUGUGGAUGUGUGCUGAGGAGGGUGCUGAGUGCUAACACACUCAUGUGUUCCUCAGAGCCAGGAUGAUCAAUAGUCACUGACCUCUGGACUCCCAAAAUAAGCCAGAGAAUUUUCAGCUUCCUGCCUCGCUGCACAAAAGCAGAAGAGAGAGGGGAAGGAAUUAUUCAGACUGACCUUGGCCUUAGCCAGACCACUUCUCUCUGACUUAGCUCAGUUGCAUUAUUUGGGUUUUCCAAAGGACUCCCAAGCUCCUGGCUAGGAUGUGGCCCAAAUCCACCCCUUUCUGUGCCAUCAGUGUCCUCUGAGUAUCCAGCACUGCCAGAAAGCUGGCCUGGAGUCAUUCCCCUUUCCUGCUAGUCCAGCUCUUUUAGAAACUGGCUUAAGCUCUGAAUCCUGGUGUUUCCUACUCUGAAAUCUGUGGUAACUCCUGUGUUUGACCCCUCUGCUGAGCUCUGUGCCCUCAGCUUCCAGCAGCAGCAGCAAGCCCUGCUGUCUCCUGCCUGCCUUCCCUAAGCUUUGCCCAGUGUUCCUUUGUGCUGUGGACACUCUGCAUCAGAUGUGACAAGAAAUAAUGUUCCACAACAUGCCCUGGUGUUCCUGCAAGCUGUGCCCCCCAUCCUGCACUGGGAAAAGGGGAGCUGGUGUCAGGAUCUCUGUGCUAGGAACAGACUGACAGUUUGGGGUGUAAUAAAUCCCCACUGUGUGAGACCAAUCCCGACUUUUCUUCUUUCUCUCUGUGAGCUUUGGGAGGAGGACUGCCUCAAGAAUUGUAUUGAUCUCAGUCCAGGAACAAA